rnacentral:snRNA from 1 species
GGAUGUGAGAGCAAACUGGCUGUGACAUCUGUCACCCCAUUGACCACCAGGGGUGAUUCGGCUGAUCUGGCUGGCUAGGCAGGUGUCUCCUUCCUCCCUCACCACUCCAUGUGUGUCCUUCUCAAAGUUAUGCAUUUGGUUAAAGAGGAUGACCAUCCCCGCUAGAGGAAGAACAGUCUUUGGCCAAGAAUCACUGCACUCCUUGGCUAGAACCUGCAAACAAGUUCUCAAAGAUGCUCUCCUGUAAAUAGUGGUAGUAAUGAUAAGUAAAUUGCAAUGGGGAGAAAAGUGGUAAGAAUUGUUGAUUUCUACCAAUCCGU